rnacentral:rRNA from 1 species
UACGAAGGGGGCUAGCGUUGUUCGGAAUUACUGGGCGUAAAGGGCGCGUAGGCGGGUUAUCAAGUUGGAGGUGAAAGCCCAGGGCUCAACCUUGGAAUUGCCUUCAAAACUGAUAGCCUAGAGUAUGAUAGAGGUAUGUGGAACUCCGAGUGUAGAGGUGAAAUUCGUAGAUAUUCGGAAGAACACCAGUGGCGAAGGCGACAUACUGGGUCAUGACUGACGCUGAGGCUCGAAAGCGUGGGGAGCAAACAGG